rnacentral:rRNA from 1 species
CCUACGGGGGGCAGCAGUGGGGAAUAUUGGACAAUGGGCGCAAGCCUGAUCCAGCCAUGCCGCGUGUGUGAAGAAGGCCUUCGGGUUGUAAAGCACUUUCAGUGGGGAAGAAAGCCUUGGGGCUAAUACCCUCGAGGAAGGACAUCACCCACAGAAGAAGCACCGGCUAACUCCGUGCCAGCAGCCGCGGUAAUACGGAGGGUGCGAGCGUUAAUCGGAAUUACUGGGCGUAAAGCGCGCGUAGGCGGUCUGAUAAGCCGGUUGUGAAAGCCCCGGGCUCAACCUGGGAACGGCAUCCGGAACUGUCAGGCUAGAGUGUAGGAGAGGAAGGUAGAAUUCCCGGUGUAGCGGUGAAAUGCGUAGAGAUCGGGAGGAAUACCAGUGGCGAAGGCGGCCUCCUGGACUGACACUGACGCUGAGGUGCGAAAGCGUGGGUAGCAAACAGGAUUAGAUACCCGAGUAGUC